GCCAGCCUGAGGCUAUUUUUUAUCAAAUAGCUGCUGAAACUCCUGAAGGCAAUAGGAAUUCAUGUGAAAGAAGCCAGCAUUACAGUUCUGGUGCAACUACAGACUCUUUUGAAACACCAAAAUCAGGCAAUCGCAACUCUCUACAUCAGGAUCACGACAGCUUUCAAAGAUCUGUUCUGACGAAGCUUGAUAUAAUGCUUGAAAAACAAGAAGAAGCAUUAUCAAUUUUGC